GAAUAAUUCUCGGGACAACUCUAGUAGGGGUAUUAACGACAUUUCACCAUGUGUUUUUUCCAAUGAAACGGCCUUUAGCAGUUUCUGGAACACUCGAGGUGGUUCAUGGGCCGUUCUCCACUUCGUAUUUUUAUCCUUCGACACUACUUCUCAUGGUUGUGAUCAAAGCUCUCGUCUUUCUUCUUCGUGCUCAUCGUAUUCGUCUUCACGUCUGCAUUCAUUGUUCUUAUUCUUCCUCAGAAGAUGAGCCGACACCCUAUUGUGAAGUGGGCUCAGAGAUCAGACAAGGUUUAUGUGACUGUUGAUUUGCCUGAUGCUAAAGAUGUAAAGGUCAAGCUAGAACCUGAUGGAAGAUUUAAUUUCUCUGCAAAGAAAGAUGAAAUUCCCUAUGAAGUUGACUUGGAUCUAUUUGAUAAGGUCAAUGUGGAGGACAGCAAAUAUAAUGUUUGUGUAAGUAA